ACUUUCCUCUGAGACAAAACCCAACACGCUGGUACGAGCCAAUGCGCGUCAAGCAGUCAUUUUAGGGAGCAUAAACACUAAACGGGACAUAACAAGGAUCCCAUAAGACCCAAGACCACAUCAGGUUCUAUAUCAAAGAGACCAAGCAAUGCUCAACGCGCCACUACAUCAACACACGCAUUAAUGGUGUGGUUCAAAGAGACGGCUUUAAGGUUCAUCUAACGUCAUAAGUAUAUGCCGCAAGACAAAAAGAACUAAUAUAAGUCAGAUCAAUACCGCAUUUUAGGUACGGAACACAAGAAACCCGGAAUUUGUAUAGGCAAUUGAAGCCUUAACAGACAAAUGAAAAGGCAUGCCAGGUGGAAGUUGUUGCACAAGCAAAGAGCCAACCACCAAUAACAAACC
rnacentral:misc_RNA from 1 species